rfam:Turnip yellow mosaic virus (Rothamsted isolate) coat protein mRNA, 3' end.
UGAGUUCUCGAUCUCUAAAAUCG